rnacentral:lncRNA from 1 species
UUUUUUUCACAUGUUGCGCUGUAUCUCUAUUGCUUAAAACUUAACAGGCUAAUGUUGCGUCGGGUUUCCAAAUACAUCUUGUACAAUCUUCCUAUUGAGCGGGAAUAAGGAAUGAGUCAGGAUAUACUAAGCAUGACAUCCUGUACAACCCUGUGUUAUUCAAAAAAGAUUUAUGUUUUUUCACAAGACGACGGGCGUAUCAUGCGCUCAUGGCGC